CCUACGGGAGGCUGCAGUCGGGAAUUUUGGGCAAUGGGCGAAAGCCUGACCCAGCAACGCCGCGUGAAGGAUGAAGCAUUUCGGUGUGUAAACUUCGCAAGAACAGGAAGAAUAAGCUUAGGAUAACACCCUGAGCGAUGACGGUACUGUUUAUAAGCUCCGGCUAACUUCGUGCCAGCAGCCGCGGUAAUACGAGGGGAGCAAGCGUUGUUCGGAUUUACUGGGCGUAAAGGGUGCGUAGGCGGCACCACAAGUCACUUGUGAAAUCUUUGGGC
rnacentral:rRNA from 1 species